AUAUAUAUAUAUAUAUAUGCCAUCAGUUUAAGAACAAUAAAAUAAACAAUUUACUUAGCAAAUGGUGAUAAUGUUUGUUAAUGAAAGAGAGUACGGGACAAAUUAACAUUUAAACCUUAAACUAGCAGCGCACGUCACUUUCUGAAUGAGGUGCGCGACGUGCGCGUGCCCGUCAUUUUGUAACGGUCAACUUCCAGCGGACGGACACGGAGGAAAGGUAAGUCCUAUAAAUCUACUUUUAUUCAUAGAUUUUAACUGAUAUAACGUUAAAUGCCAUCAAAGAGGAGUAGUGUUUUGUAUUUUUGUAGGUUUUCUCUUUCAAUUUAAUAAAUAAAUGCUCUGUUUGGUUAAUUAGCUCAAAAGCAGUCUCAGAGGUGGUCUAAGGUAACGGUAACUGUUAAAAUCGAAUAUAACCUUACCUAGUUUAAAUUAUUUGAAAUUUAUCACUAUAAACUAUACAGUGUUAACUUUCUAAUAAUUUAAUUUUUAACCGUAGUAACGUUAAUUAGUUUGUUUGAAUGCCUGCUGCUCGAGCUUGAUGAUGCUCAUGCUAUCCAUGCUGUGAACUUGAAUAUAAACCGAUAGAACGUUAAAUAUAAAGUUUAACGUUAAUUAGACCGAGGCUGCCGAAAUCAUGUUCAGUGUAACGUUAUGUGGGAUUAAUAAUUUCCCCUUUUCUCCCUCAAGUGGCAGGCUUGUAAAUUCUGUCAUCUGUUCAUUAUUGGUGUUGAUGGUGUUUUUCACAUGCAUGCUUUUUAAUGCUAGUUUAAUUCUCAAAUUGAUCUGAUACUUUCGUUCCACAAAAAGUAAACACAUUUUUCACUUUCUUAGGGCCUGACAACCACCAGUUGAGUCCAUGAUUCAGGGAAGAGACAGUCUGGGCAGCAGCAACAAGACAACUAUUACAAGUAGAGAUGGGUUUCAAGAACUGACACAACCACAUAUCCUCCAAAUCAUCUCUGCGUGGAUGGCAGCAAGGAUCCAGGAUCAAGAGAUCAUUCAUCAUGGAGACUGUUCCACAGGAAGCAGUUUCUCCUGGGUCAUCCUGACCAUUCUGCUGUUCUGGAUGUAAGGCCGUGCUGCAACUACAUUUCUCGUGGUUGAAAGAUUUGUGGAGCGGUAUCCAGACAUAUAACGCCCCAUCACACGGGGCGUCAACGCCUCGCGUUUACUUUUAAAUGAAGUGACGUCAAGCAUGGUGAAAUUAAUUCUAGAAAUUAAUUCUAAAUAGAAGUUGAAGACUUCUCAAGCGCCAAUGCAGCCGUCCUCCAGUCAGAACAUCCUAUGCAAAUACCCUAGCGCAGACGCAAGCCAAUCGAGUGCAUGCAAUACCAGAAAACUAAUGUGAUUGGCUGUCACUAUGAGAAGAGACAGUAAUUCUGAUCCGAUAUCAGUGUCGUUUUUUGCAAAAAAAAAUUUAAAUCAAUGUAGAAUUUUCUAUACUUCUGUGUAGGGAUGUCAAUUUUCAAUCAUUUCCAUGAUCGAUCGUUGUUUAAAUUAAUGAACAAAUAAUCGAUUAAUCGUUAACCUUAUAUAUAAUAUAAUAUAUAUAUAUAUAUAAAACUGUAAAUAUAUAUAUUUUACAGUAAAGACCAAAAGUUUGGACACACCUUCUCAUUCAAAGAGUUUUCUUUAUUUUCAUGACUAUGAAAAUUGUAGAGUCACACUGAAGGCAUCAAGGGCUAUUUGGCCAAGAAGGAGAGUGAUGAUGACCUGGCCUCCACAGUCACCGGACCUGAACCCAAUCCAGAUGGUUUAGGGGUGAGCUGGACCGCAGACAGAAGGACAAAGGGCCAACAAGUGCUAAGCAUCUCUCGGGGAACUCCUUCAAGACUGUUGGAAGACCAUUUCAGAUUUGAGGGAAAGAUUAAAAACAAGGAGGUCUGGGAAUGACUGAAGGGAUCUGACAGCAGUGAGGGAAGGAAGUUAUCACCAGAAUCCUUGGUGAGUAGAAGAGACUUCUCUUGAAAACCAUAAAGAAAAGAUUCCAGGAUGAAGAGGAGGAGGAAGAACACGUUUAACAAUUUUCUAUAAGCUUGCCAUUAGUUAUAAUAAAAACAAUGAACAUGACUACAAUAAUAUGCUAAAUGUUAUUAAAAGAUUCCAGUUUGCAAGAAGUCUGAGUGUCUGACUCUACACUAGAGGAACUCUUUUCUGAAGAAGAUCAGGUGCUGAGAAGAAGCCUUGUUCUACAGCAAAACACUGCAUCAAACCUCCUGUCCUUCCCUCAGAAGAGCCUGUCUUCUGCUGCUGGGGUAAGAAACACCCUCUUCCUCUUCUCUAUCAGCUGUCCAGCACCUAACUCUGCCUCCUCAGCACUGUCUGAAAGAGUCAUCUCCACAGUCAGUAAUCACAGAUUCUUCUGAGAAAGUCGAUAUGUUCAUUUUCUUAAAAAACUUUGUUUUUUCGGGUGGGACAAAUAAUACAGGAGAGAUGCUAGAAAUCUCUAUAUUGUUCAUUUUUCAUAUCUUUACGCUUUAUGAAUGUUUUUCUUCUGAGAAGCUCAAAAAUUAUGGUUCUUUGGUAAUUGCUUUAUUGUUUAGGUUUAUCCUCUGAUAGUGAGCACAGAGCCCUGAUCAUGACAUGCAAGAAAAAGAAAGAAAUCAUGUCCAUGAUUUACUAAUUCAUUCCCUCUAUGUACUAAAACGUGCACGAUUACUUUUACAUUUCAUUGAUUUGCUAAAUCGUAUGCACAAUUUACUAAUUCGUUCUCUUGAUGUAUAAAUAGUGUACACGUUUUAGCAAAUCGAGGGAAUGAAAUAUAAAAUCGUGCGCAUGAAUUAGCCUAAAUUUUUUCCUGCAUGUCGUGUAAUUAAAGCACAUCACCACCAGACAUUUAUACCAGGAGCCUCAUAUACGACGCUCAGUUUUACUUUGUGCAGUAUCUCUGUGCAGUAUCUGCUGAAUUGUUUCAUAUCUAUUUAUCAUGUAUUUUUCGUUGCACUAAAUUAUGUUGUAUCAAUAAGUUUACUGAUAAUUAUUUUUAAUUUUCACUAAUAACGUCAUUAACCAUCUCCCCAUCUUUAAGACAAAAAUUCUCUAUUGUUUAUAUUGUGUAAUCUAUGAAUUGAUGUGUUUAGUUUUCUGUGCUCAUAACUUAGUAACAUUUUGCAUGGUUAAAGAACAGGUGCGAUGUUCAAAAUGUUUUUAUACAAAGUAGUGCUGAAUAAAUAUUGAUUUGUGAAUGAA